rnacentral:rRNA from 1 species
AGAGUUUGAUCCUGGCUCAGGACGAACGCUGGCGGCGUGCUUAACACAUGCAAGUCGAACGGAAAGGCCCGCAUUACUUUUGUGGUGGGGGUGCUCGAGUGGCGAACGGGUGAGUAACACGUGGGUGAUCUGCCCUGUACUUCGGGAUAAGCUUGGGAAACUGGGUCUAAUACCGGAUAGGACCAUGGUUUAGUGUCUCAUGGUGGAAAGAUUAUUGUUUUGGUGCAGGAUGAGCUCGCGGCCUAUCAGCUUGUUGGUGGGGUAAUGGCCUACCAAGGCGUCGACGGGUAGCCGGCCUGAGAGGGUGGACGGCCACAUUGGGACUGAGAUACGGCCCAGACUCCUACGGGAGGCAGCAGUGGGGAAUAUUGCACAAUGGGCGCAAGCCUGAUGCAGCGACGCCGCGUGGGGGAUGACGGCCUUCGGGUUGUAAACUCCUUUCGUUAGGGACGAAGCCGCACCUUUUUUUGGGUGUGGUGACGGUACCUUUGUUAAGAAGCACCGGCUAACUACGUGCCAGCAGCCGCGGUAAUACGUAGGGUGCGAGCGUUGUCCGGAAUUACUGGGCGUAAAGAGCUCGUAGGUGGUUUGUUGCGUCGUCUGUGAAAUUCCGGGGCUUAACUUCGGGGUGGCAGGCGAUACGGGCAUAACUAGAGUGCUGUAGGGGAGACUGGAAUUCCUGGUGUAGCGGUGGAAUGCGCAGAUAUCAGGAGGAACACCGAUGGCGAAGGCAGGUCUCUGGGCAGUAACUGACGCUGAGGAGCGAAAGCAUGGGGAGCGAACAGGAUUAGAUACCCUGGUAGUCCAUGCUGUAAACGGUGGGCGUUAGGUGUGGGGACCGGUUUGGUUUCUGUGCCGUAGCUAACGCAUUAAGCGCCCCGCCUGGGGAGUACGGCCGCAAGGCUAAAACUCAAAGGAAUUGACGGGGGCCCGCACAAGCGGCGGAGCAUGCGGAUUAAUUCGAUGCAACGCGAAGAACCUUACC